rnacentral:rRNA from 1 species
GAUGAACGCUGGCGGCGUGCCUAAUACAUGCAAGUCGAGCGAACAGACGAGGAGCUUGCUCCUCUGACGUUAGCGGCGGACGGGUGAGUAACACGUGGAUAACCUACCUAUAAGACUGGGAUAACUUCGGGAAACCGGAGCUAAUACCGGAUAAUAUAUUGAACCGCAUGGUUCAAUAGUGAAAGACGGUUUUGCUGUCACUUAUAGAUGGAUCCGCGCCGCAUUAGCUAGUUGGUAAGGUAACGGCUUACCAAGGCAACGAUGCGUAGCCGACCUGAGAGUGUGAUCGGCCACACUGGAACUGAGACACGGUCCAGACUCCUACGGGAGGCAGCAGUAGGGAAUCUUCCGCAAUGGGCGAAAGCCUGACGGAGCAACGCCGCGUGAGUGAUGAAGGUCUUCGGAUCGUAAAACUCUGUUAUUAGGGAAGAACAAAUGUGUAAGUAACUAUGCACGUCUUGACGGUACCUAAUCAGAAAGCCACGGCUAACUACGUG